GGGUUGAUUUGGAUGAUCUGGCUGGCUAGGCGGGUGUCCCCUUCCUCCCUCACCACUCCAUGUGCGUCCCUCCCAAAACUGUGACCUCAGUUGAAGAGGACAACCUUCCCUGAAUAGAGGAGGACCGGUCUUAGGUAUAGGAGUAACUGCGCUGCCCUGCUAGAACCUCCAAACAA
rnacentral:sRNA from 1 species